rnacentral:lncRNA from 1 species
GGAAGAUAAUUUGUUCCCACUGGUUUUAUUAAUUAGAUAAUAUUAUUAAGUUACUAAGCAUGUUUAGCAAUUCUCCCAUGAUUUCCACAUUGUGCUCUUUGGCACUCCUGAACAUAAAAGAUCACUUAUUGAUGCAUUUUAGUGAGUAGAUUAGGUGCAAUAAAUUCUACAGUUGUCGCCCUGAAAACUCAGCUUCUGAGCUUGCUGACAUAGUUUUCUAAGGACUUUCCCAGGACAGUAACUGUAAACAUAGAUAUGUGUACAUUCCUUCUGCUACACAUCUCGUGAUGGACAUCUCUCAUGGCCAGUGCAGUGAGAAAGUGUUAUCCUGACCAUCCAAUCCCUGGCUGUGGUCAGAAACCUAUAAAUCCUGGGAGGAAAAAUAAACUUUCUCUUCCUUUCACCACACCUCGAGCUGUGUCCGUGUGAUCCAUUCAGCACCAGCGGCAACAUACAGUAACUCAUCUUCACGAGAAUCUAUGAAUGACAAUGACAAACACAUCUUACAAAAUCCUGACAAGAUCAAAAACAACAAUGAAUUUGCCUGUGGUAUAGCCAUAAUUACAGAAACAUGGAAUCACAGAAUUAUUGGAGUUGGAAGGAACCUCUGGAGAUCAUCAAGUCCAACCAUCCUGCCAAGGCAGAGUAAUUUAGAAGAGGUGUUAUCGAAAAGCAAUGAGGUACGUUCUGAAUGUCUCCAGAGCAAGAGAAUUCACAGCCUUCCUGGAAAACCUGUUCCAGUGCUCUGCCUCAGUGUAAAGAAGUUCUUCCUCAUGUUGAGGUGGAACUUCUUGUAUUUUAUUUUAUGGCCAUUAUCCCUCCUGUUUCUGAGCUUCACUAAAAAGAGUCUGGUACCUUCCUAUUGACAUUUACCUUUGAGAUUAAUGUACAUUAAUGAGAUCCCCUC